UUUUUUUUUUUUUUUUUUUUUUUUUUUUGUUUAUAAAUUAAGUGCCAAUUCAUCUACGACGAAUUAGUAAAUCGCAAUAAUGUGCUCAUUCCUCGCGAUGUCAUUCGCUUUUGGCAUUAAUAGAUGUUCUUGGAUGGAUUGGUUAUAAAAACAAUUGAAAACUUUAUUAAAUUUCGAUGAAGAAAUUUCGCGUGUGUUACAACGAGAAAAUUUCGUUUCGUCUAAUCUCGCUGAAACGACGACGAAAUCUCUCUUCGUCGUACGUUGGAUGAGAGGAGGAAGGCAAAAGGAGGAAGAAAAGACGGUGGUGGUGGUGGUGGUGGUAGAUGAGGAGAAGAAGGUGGAGAAGUUGGAAGAGGAGCAAGUGGUGGAUAAGAAAGGUGGAGGUGGACAGGGUGGUGAAGAAAAAGGAGGGACGGAUUUUAUAUCUACGAGGUGUUCCUUCUUGUCGUGAUUACGUAACGGACGUUAGUGCUAAAUCGAAAGACAAGCGAGGAACGAUGAACUCCUCUUCGGAGGGGAGGCAAACUUUUGCGCGAGAUGUGUGCGAACGUAUAACUCUCUGCUCCUCGUGAUCUCGAGACGACGGAUAGAUAGAUAGAUAGAUAUAUAGAUAGAUGAUAGAUAGAUAGAAAGAUUAAUACAGGGUAGACUGAUAAAAAGUGUGAGAGAAAAGAAGAGAGCGUUUUUCAUAAAAAAAAAAAAAGAUACAUUGUAGUAUGGUAA